rnacentral:sRNA from 1 species
AGAAAAGUGACCGCUGCCCCGCGCAGGGGCGACCCUAAUAGACCGCAAAAAAAACGGGACCCAGCGAAAAACCAGAAACCC